ensembl:lncRNA
AUGUCUAUCUGGAGAUCAUCCCCCUUGGAGUCCUUCUGUGAGCCCAGGACAUGGGCAGCACUGUGGCACUUAGACUCCUCAGGAACGGGUGCUGAUACAGAAUUCAUCUCAUAGGUUGUUAGGAAAAGUUCCAGUGCUCAAACAUGCCCUAUUUCUCAUCCACCCCAUGAGUUUUCUGACCAGAAUAAAAUGACAGGUUUGUAUCAUAUCCAUUUCUUAUCUUCAACUUUGUAAGGACUUGUUACAGUUUUCUCAGCCAUAACACAUUUUUCUACCUCUUUUCUGUUGCCCUGUUUUGUCCCAGACUCACAAGUCACAUUGAAAAUAGUUCACACUUAUUCAGCAAGAUGCUGAUACACUGAUAUUACAAACUAAAGCUUUGAUAACAAUAAAUUAGGUGAUAAAAUAAAAUUUAAGUCUAAGAUAUAAAGCAAAGACCAAAAAUAAUUCAGAUGGCUAAAGCUAAUACACAUGGGCUUGACAAAAGCUAAUACAUAGGGGUUAAUCAGUAAUGUGAUUUCUAAAACUAUGAGGGCUGGUUAUUGGAAAGAGCUUUCACUUUUUCCUGCUGGAGACUCGAAGAAACUGGCUCCUUCAUCUGCCAUCAGAGCUUGAUAAUGACUGGUAAGUUGCAGAAAAAGGAAAACAUAUGUGAAUCCAUUACAAAACCAAUAGUUUCUAUUUACUUCCUACAAUGCGUAGCACUGAAUUGAACACUAUAUACCAACAUUCCAAGAUUACCAGCUCUUUUCCAUGCACAUUUGAACUGCUUCAUGACCUCACUACAUCAAUCCUGAUCCAGAAUUGGCUGCUUUUCCUAGUUCAGUUUCUGUGAAGACCAAACAACAAUAUUUAAGAAAAUAAAAGGUUAAAAAUAUUCAAAUUUUCACUACAGGUAUGUCAUAAUAACUGCACAUACUUUUACUUUUCUAACUAGAAUAGUAUUCAAGCAUAGGGAACCAGACAGUGGAUGAAAACAAAUGCAUUUAAUAGACAAGUGGGGGACUUUGCCCCAGAGGGUAUGGUGUAUUCUUCUUGGUAUGUGUGUUGACAAGGUGAUCUGCUGUGUCUGUCUUCAGUAGGUGGAAUGGCUGUUAGCACUUGUGUUAGAGCAAGUGUAAUCUAUUUCUAGAGCUAAGAAAAAAGUUCAGAAGCUGUAAGUGAUGGUUACCACUUAUUCUCUUCCACUGAGACACAGCCACAGAUGCACAAGAAAAUGAUUUCUGGACACAACAGUGUAAUCUUCUUGCAGAACUGCCUUCCUUUCUCCCUGUCUAAAUUUCCCUUUCCAGACUGACUCACUCUUUCUACUUAGCAUUUGUACACAGAGGAUGUUUUCACUCUUCCUUUAGGCUGGUCUUCAUUUUUGCAAUGUCAUUGCCAAGAGAUAUUUUUUGCUAGAAGUCACAUGUAUGUGGGAUUUUGCUGCAUACUCAACCUAUUUAAAACCACUAGUAACAAUAAUAAAGGAUAUAAAAUGGGAAGGAGGACUGAAUCUAAAAAUGUGUUUUAUUUUGGUAAUGUAUUGAUGUAUAUAUUUUAAAGUAAAUUAUCUUCCAAAUGUAAUUCAGUUUGUCAGCAAAACUGAACAGAGUAUUUUUCAGCAAAGAAAAGGAUACACGCAUGACUUUUGGUGACCGUCUGCAAAAAUUUUACAGUCAAGUGUAGAAUCCUGAAUCCAGGCUACUAGAAAAGAAUAUCUUUUGUAGAUGACAUAAUAAAUUUAUAAGUAUCUCACACAACAGAUAACAUUUAUGCAACAACUUCAUUUCUUUGCAUUCCUACAUAAAUGAAUCCAAUUGCUACUAAAAGUUUUAAAAGCAUGUUUGUAAUUUAAAUCCAACACAGCUGUAUAGCCAACCUCUUUGUAUAUCAACCUUCCAGCUCAUUACUUAGAAUCUUAUACUAAAUAUUUAUCACAUAUAAAAUAAUGGUCAUAAAAGGAUUAAGUAUCUAAAUUUAUUGGAUUUAUAUAUUGUUGUGCUGUGUAAAAAAAAAAAAAAUAGGUAUGAGUCAUGAGGCUGAUAGAAAGCAUUAUCUUUACAUCUUUUGUUAAUUGAGCUAUAGCUCUGCUCAGAUAGAAACAGUGACAACUGCCCCACUCCUUAAAAAAGAAAAGCUAUCUUACCUAAGUAAAUGGGAAAAAAAAUUCAUUGAUGGAUAAAAAUAUUAAAAAAAAAAGAUAAGACAAAGUGAAGGUUAUGCAGAGGUAAAUGUGUCAGUUGUCUGUGAUGAACUGUCAAAUGUAACAUAGCAUGCAAAGGGAGAUGUUUAAUGACACUGAUUAUCACAUAGUUUUGGAACAAAUGCUUACAAUAUUUACACUGCUGAGAAUCACAAAAAAUACAGAAAAUGAUUAAG